CCAAUAGCGUAUAUUAACGUUGUUGCAGUUAAAAAGCUCGUAGUUGAAUUUCGGGAUCAAAUUGUCGGUCGUGCCUCGGUACGCCCUGGUUUUAUUGGUUCCUCCCUUCUGAAGAACCACGAUGUCAUUCAUUUGGUGUCGUGGGAAAUCAGGACUGUUACUUUGAAAAAAUUAGAGUGUUUAAAGCAAGCUCACGCUUGAAUACAUUAGCAUGGAAGAAUGAAAUAGGACGUUUGAUUCUAUUUUGUUGGUUUCUAGGAUCGACGUAAUGAUUAAUAGGGAUAGUUGGGGGCAUUAGUAUUCAAUUGUCAGAGGUGAAAUUCUUGGAUUUAUUGAAGACUAACUACUGCGAAAGCAUUUGCCAAGGAUGUUUUCAUUAAUCAAGAACGAAAGUUAGGGGAUCGAAGACGAUCAGAUACCGUCGUAGUCUUAACCAUAAACUAUGCCGACUAGGGAUCGGAUGAUGUUAAUUUUUUAAUGACUCAUUCGGCGCCUUACG
rnacentral:rRNA from 1 species